rnacentral:rRNA from 1 species
CAGGAUAGACGGCCUUCGUGGUUGGAAACUGGUUUUGACGGGGACAAAAAAUGACCUUGCCAGGUUAAUUGAUCGUGCCUGGCUAAUAGCCACCGGCCACGUACGUGCCAACGGGCGCGGCGUUACCCAGAUUGCAUGCGUUGACCGGAUGUUAUUGGGUUUAUGGGAUGCGGAGGCGGACUAUUAUCGCCUUGGUGAAAUCCGCGAACUUAACAGUGGAUAUGUUGUUGGUGCUGGAGGCCUGGGGAACUCAGGAGGUAGGGGGAAUUGACAGUGAAGCGGUGAAAUGCCCAGAUAUUGACAAGAACCCCGAGAGCGAAGGCUGAUUGCUGGGCUGUAACUGAGGCUGAUGCNNGAAAGUGUGGGGAUCAAACAGGAUUGCAUACCCUGGUAGUCCCUACUGUAAACGUUGAUGACUCGCUGUGUGCCAUAUACAUAACGCGGCUUACAGCAAUCGUUAAGUCAUCCACCUGGGGAGUACGCCGGCAACGGUG